UCCAGACUCCUACGGGAGGCAGCAGUGGGGAAUAUUGCACAAUGGGGGGAACCCUGAUGCAGCGACGCCGCGUGAGUGAAGAAGUAUUUCGGUAUGUAAAGCUCUAUCAGCAGGGAAGAAAAUGACGGUACCUGACUAAGAAGCCCCGGCUAACUACGUGCCAGCAGCCGCGGUAAUACGUAGGGGGCAAGCGUUAUCCGGAUUUACUGGGUGUAAAGGGAGCGUAGACGGCAGAGCAAGUCUGAAGUGAAAGCCCGCGGCCCAACUGCGGGACUGCUUUGGAAACUGCCCGGCUAGAGUGCUGGAGAGGUAAGCGGAAUUCCUAGUGUAGCGGUGAAAUGCGUAGAUAUCACGCAGAACUCCGAUUGCGAAGGCAGCGCACCGGCGCCCUACUGACGCUCAGGCACGAAAGCGUGGGUAUCGAACAGGAUUAGAUACCCUCGUA
rnacentral:rRNA from 1 species